rnacentral:rRNA from 1 species
GGACGAACGCUGGCGGCGUGCCUAACACAUGCAAGUCAAAGUCUGAGUGACUCGGUACAAGGACUUGGCGCAAGGGUGAGUAAGGCAUAGGUAAUCUGCCUUUGGCUGGGAUAACCCCGAGAAAUCGGGAACAAUACCAGAUGAUGCAGCGGAACCGCAUGGUUAUGUUGUUAAAGAUUUAUCGCCAAAAGAUGAGCCUAUGUUCCAUCAGGUAGUUGGUAGGGUAACGGCCUACCAAGCCUACGACGGAUAGCUGGUCUGAGAGGAUGGUCAGCCACAUUGGAACUGAGACACGGUCCAGACUCCUACGGGAGGCAGCAGUGAGGAAUAUUGCGCAAUGGGCGAAAGCCUGACGCAGCAACGCCGCGUGGAUGAUGAAGUUCUUCGGAAUGUAAAAUCCUUUUGCAGGGGACGAAUAGGUCGGCUUGCCGGCUGUGACGGUACCCUGCGAAUAAGCCACGGCUAACUCUGUGCCAGCAGCCGC